CCUACGGGAGGCAGCAGUGGGGAAUUUUGGACAAUGGGCGCAAGCCUGAUCCAGCAAUGCCGCGUGAGUGAAGAAGGCCUUCGGGUUGUAAAGCUCUUUUGUCAGGGAAGAAACGGUGGGGGCUAAUAUCCCCUGCUAAUGACGGUACCUGAAGAAUAAGCACCGGCUAACUACGUGCCAGCAGCCGCGGUAAUACGUAGGGUGCAAGCGUUAAUCGGAAUUACUGGGCGUAAAGCGUGCGCAGGCGGUUUUGUAAGUUUGUCGUGAAAUCCCCGGGCUCAACCUGGGAAUGGCGAUGAAGACUGCAAGGCUAGAAUCUGGCAGAGGGGGGUAGAAUUCCACGUGUAGCAGUGAAAUGCGUAGAGAUGUGGAGGAACACCGAUGGCGAAGGCAGCCCCCUGGGUCAAGAUUGACGCUCAUGCACGAAAGCGUGGGGAGCAAAUAGGAUUAGAUACCCUGGUAGUCCACGCCCUAAACGAUGUCUACUAGUUGUCGGGUUUUAAUUAACGUUGGUAACGUCAGCUAACGCGUGAAGUAGACCGCCGUGGGGAGUACGGUCGCAAGAUUAAAACNCGAAAGGAAUUGACGG
rnacentral:rRNA from 1 species